GUUAUAGGGUCAAGCGAACAAGUGCAUGUGGUGGAUGCCUUGGCGAUCACAGGCGAUGAAGGACGCGGUAGCCUGCGAAAAGCUACGGGGAGCUGGCAAACGAGCUUUGAUCCGUAGAUGUCCGAAUGGGGAAACCCGGCCCUUUUGGGUCAUCCUGGACUGAAUACAUAGGUCCAGUGAAGCGAACGCGGUGAACUGAAACAUCUAAGUAACCGCAGGAAAAGAAAUCAACCGAGAUUCCCAAAGUAGUGGCGAGCGAAAUGGGAUGAGCCUUGCACUCUUUAUUUGUAUUGUUAGCCGAACGCUCUGGAAAGUGCGGCCAUAGCAGGUGAUA
rnacentral:rRNA from 1 species